GGGGCAAGCGUUGUUCGGAUUUAUUGGGCGUAAAGGGUGCGUAGGCGGUUUGGCAAGUCUUGUGUGAAAUCUUCGGGCUCAACCCGAAGCCUGCGCGAGAAACUACCGGGCUUGAGUGAUGGAGAGGUGAGUGGAAUUUCCGGUGUAGCGGUGAAAUGCGUAGAUAUCGGAAGGAACACCUGUGGCGAAAGCGGCUCACUGGACAUUAACUGACGCUGAUGCACGAAAGCUAGGGGAGCAAACAGGAUUAGAUACCCUGGUAGUCCUAGCCCUAAACGAUGAUCGCUUGAUGUGGCAGGUACCCAAUCCUGCCGUGUCGAAGCUAACGCGAUAAGCGAUCCGCCUGGGGAGUACGGUCGCAAGACUGAAACUCAAAGGAAUUGACGGGGGCCCGCACAAGCGGUGGAGCAUGUGGUUUAAUUCGACGCAACGCGAAGAACCUUACCUGGGCUCGAAAUGUACCGGAAUCCGGCAGAAACGUCGGCGUCUAGCAAUAGACCGGUAUAUAGGUGCUGCAUGGCUGUCGUCAGCUCGUGUCGUGAGAUGUUGGGUUAAGUCCCGCAACGAGCGCAACCCUUAUCUUCAGUUGCUACCAUUUAGUUGAGCACUCUGACGAAACCGCCUCGGAUAACGGGGAGGAAGGUGGGGAUGACGUCAAGUCCUCAUGGCCUUUAUGUCCAGGGCUACACACGUGCUACAAUGGCCGGUACAAACCGCUGCAACCCCGCGAGGGUGAGCUAAUCGGAAAAAGCCGGCCUCAGUUCGGAUUGGAGUCUGCAACUCGACUCCAUGAAGCUGGAAUCGC
rnacentral:rRNA from 1 species